rnacentral:misc_RNA from 1 species
GCCGCUCAGUUUAGUUCACCAGUGGCUGUUGUUCCUUCUGUGGAAUCUCUCGAAUCCACAAUCCUUUCCGACGCCGAAUCAUGCCUCCGAAAUUGGACCCAAGUCAGCUGGUUGAAGUCUUCGUUCGCGUUACUGGAGGUGAGGUCGGAGCCGCCAGUUCUCUCGCUCCCAAGAUCGGUCCUCUUGGUCUUUCCCCUAAGAAGAUCGGAGAAGACAUUGCCAAAGAGACCGCAAAGGAAUGGAAAGGUCUUAGGGUUACUGUAAAGCUUUCCGUCCAAAAUCGUCAGGCGAAGGUCUCCGUUGUGCCUUCCGCGGCGGCUUUGGUAAUUAAGGCCUUGAAGGAGCCGGAACGUGACCGGAAGAAAACUAAGAACAUCAAGCACAAUGGUAAUAUUUCUCUCGAUGAUGUGAUUGAGAUUGCUAGGGUUAUGCGGCCCAGAUCGAUGGC